AGCCUGAACGCUGGCGGCGUGGCUAAGACAUGCAAGUCGUACGGGUGUAGCAAUACACCAGUGGCGGACGGGUGAGUAAUGUAUCGCUAACGUACCCCGGAUUCUGGGAUAGCUGCCCGAAAAGGGCAGGUAAUACCGGAUGAUAUAUCCUUUUCGCAUGAAGAGGAUCUCAAAGGGAAACCGUUCUGGGAGCGGGCGAUAUCGUAUCAGCUAGUUGGUGAGGUAACGGCUCACCAAGGCGACGACGCGUAGCCGGACUGAGAGGUUGGCCGGCCACAUUGGGACUGAGACACUGCCCAGACUCCUACGGGGGGCUGCAGUAACGAAUCUUCCGCAAUGCACGCAAGUGUGACGGAGCGACGCCGCGUGUGGGACGAAGUCCUUCGGGAUGUAAACCACUGUCAGGGGUUAGAAAGUUCUGAUCAACCCCAGAGGAAGGCACGGCUAACUCUGCGCCAGCAGCCGCGGUAA
rnacentral:rRNA from 1 species